AUAUAUCAUAUUAAACUCCAAUCCUCUGCGUGGUUUGCUAUUUCGUGUCCCUCGCUCAGCCCAUACUCCACACCGACCUUCCUCUUCGGCGCUCGAUAGCAUCUUCGGCGCUCGAUAGCAUCUUCGGCCAUGGCCUCUCCGCGGCCUCCUCAGGGGAAGCCCCUCGACCUGGAGAUCACAGUGGUCUCUGCGAAGCACCUCAAAAACGUGAACUGGCAUCACGGCGACCUCAAGCCCUACGCCGUCGCUUACCUCGAUCCCGACCGACGCGCCGCCACCAAGCCCGACGACGCCGGCAACACCCGCCCCGUCUGGAACGAGCGCCUCUCCCUCCCCCUCCCGCCCUCCCUCCUCGACCCCCCGCUCUUCCUCACCUUCGACAUCUUCCACUCCAAACCCUCCGAGACCCCCAAGCCCCUCGUCGGCACCGCCCGCUGCUCCGUCAAGGACCUCCUCGGCCCCGACGCGUUCGCCGCCGCCGCCUCAUCCGGCGUCGCCCUCGACGGCUCCCCCGUCCCCAUCAAAACCCUAGAGCUCCGCCGUCCCUCCGGGCGCCCCCAGGGCAAGAUCCGGAUCAAGGUCGCGAUCCGGGAGCGCCCCUGCCCGCCGCCGGGGCCCGCCUACCAAUUCGCCCCUCCCUCCGGCUAUUACUACUCCACCGCUCCUCCCCCUUCGGCCCGGGACUACCGCGCCUAUUCCCCACCACCUCCACCCGUCCCUCCUUACAGCCACCCCAUGCCAUCCCAGCCGUCGCCGUACCCUUACGGGAACUACUCCGAUCCCUACUCUGGGUACUAUUCCUCCACUGCCGGGUAUUACUCCGCCCCUCCAGCCCCGGCCCCGGCCCCGGCCCCGGCCCGGCCGUACUACGAUCGGGCAUCUGUGUACGGUGGCCCGUCGGCGCCUGUGGACUACUCGUCCGGCCCUUCUUCUUACGAACAGAAGACUAAGGGGGCCAGAUUGGGAAUGGGGACCGGCCUGGCAGUUGGGGCGGUGGCCGGGGCACUGGGAGGGCUGGCGUUGGACGAAGGGCUCAAGUAUGAGGAGAAGAUUGCGGAGAGGGUGGAGAGCGAUCUUGCCGCGAGGGAUGAUUACAGCGACUAUCGGGCGGACUACUGAACAAGGCAGGUUGUCCUGAAAUUUACUUGCCAUAAGGUUUCUGGAUUUAUAUGAAGGCAAGAUGCCAAUAAGGCGACCGUUAUAUCAGCCUUCAGCAGAUUGAAGGAAGGAAGUGCACAUGCAAAGCUGAGUAUAGUUUCCAUAGCAAAAGGUAAAGCAGCUCAAAUAUUGGCAGAUUAUCAUAUCUGACAUUCUCUGCGGACUAGGUAGUGCACCUACUCAAUAAAAAGUUUGCAGGAAAAGACCAACUAGUUGUAGGUAGUGCAUGCUCAUUUAUGACACAGAGAAUCACGGACAAACCCUAUGGGUCUUGCAUAGAAAUGAAAAUUUUGAAUCUUACUUGAAUGGAAGGUAACAGUGGACCAAUGUUUUAUUGUAUUUUCCCAUUAGUGCUUCUAAAGAAAGUUGUUAGCAUUAUUAACUCUUUUUAUGAAGAAUAAUUUUGCUUGAUUUUUGUUGAUUAGAG